UCUAAGAAAGCAGGCUGUUGGUGCUCUAGCAAUCACUGGCAAAACGGGAAGUGCAGCAGCGCACCAUCUCUGACCCCCAGAGGAAGACAGGAGCUGGGCUACUCAGGAGAGGGACUGUGUACCCCAACUCUGCUCUGACAGGCAGUGCUCCGGCAGGCCAGGCCAGGCCUCUCCCUACAGCUCUCCCUCUAUCCCAGCUUUUCGGAGAGAAAGUAAACAGACCCUUGACCAGAUGGAGCCUUCCUCGCUAAUAAAUCUAGCCUAAAGCUGAGACAUGUUCAAGAAGAAGCAGAAAAUUACCUUUCAGGAAGCCAAUGUGAGGGAAGCUGCCAGCUGAGCAAAAGGACUCACAAGUACCCCCACUUCAUGCCUUUUCUGACCAAUGAAACUAGGUUCCAAUGGCACCAGCAUUCCUGGCUGUAAACUGAACCACUGCCUUCCCUCGUCACCCCCAGCAACUCCUGAGGUCAUCUCCGGAAUGUCUUCGAGACUGGAACUUUUCUACCAUUUCCAUGCAGUGGCAGAACCCCAUGUGGUUAUGCAGAGUACAACCCUGGUUCCAGGCUAGGCUGAAGGUCAGUUGCUCAGCGAGACCACUCCCCCGCCCCCAGUAGCUGCUCCCAGUGCAUAGAUGGCCUCACAUGAUCCCAGACCACACUCUGAAUCUGCCUUUUCCUUCUGUGGAUGCAUAAGGACACACUCAGAAAGUGAAGUGACUUUCCCAGGCUUAGCGAGCAAGGCUGGGCCCGGGCCCAAGGCAAAGAUGAGAAACAAAAGUAGAGACGUUGCUCUCCUGUCCCCAGUCACUGGAACCUGCCUAGCAUAUGUGGGACGACAGUAAUUUGGCCAUGAAGACUGCAACAAAUGGGGCAAAUUUAAACAUAGCCACAGCUAGCCUCAAUCUCUGUGGUUUCCACAUCCAGAGAGUCAGCCGACUACAGGCUGAAAUGAAAAUAUUGAGGAAAAAGAAUCCUGCCUGUACCGAGCAUGUAAAGAACUCUUUCUUGCCGUUACUCUCUGAAUGGUGUCACUGUGGGACGGCUCUUUGUGGAAAUGGUGCAGUGUGGAAGUUCCUCACACAGCUUUACGGAGUGCUCGGCACUACAGAUAACAUAGAGAGGUGGGUAAGGUGUCCAGGAGGACACACGCAGGUCACAUGCAGUACUCUGCCUUCUACAGAAGGGGCUGGUACACUCUGGUAGAACCAAGGCCUUCAGACACUGAGGGCGACUGUUGUCUUAUCCUGAGCUGGCAGGUGCUGCUGAGGACAGGUCUGUUUCCUUCCUGCAAAGCUUUCCUUUGCCUCCAAGCUUCCCAUGCUCCUGAAGCAGAAGGCCCAGGGGACUCACCACAAACCUGUAGGGACAUCUUGCCUCCCACAACUCAAAACCCCAAGUGGCCUCCCUGCCUUAUCCCUGCUAUCCAGACUGGGGUCCACCUCCUCCCACAGGGCACUUACGCUGGCACGGCCUCCUCCUGUUAGCCUUUGCCCAAGUCCAUUUUACUCGAGUGUUAACCCUAACUCCUGUCCUGGCACUCCCUUAAUCCUCUCGUUUUCUCAUAAUACCAAUCCUUACCUAACAUACAAUGUACUAUUUGCUGUUUUUGUUUUCCAAAUGGAGGUAAAUAUAAACAUUUGUAA